GGCACUUCCCUGUGGGAAAUCAAGUUUCAUUUGACUUAGAAAAACAGUUAAGUGAUGCCUCCUGCCCUCACUGGGGUGUCCUUUUUACCCCGGGCACUUCUCCUGGGCUCCUGCGCUCCUGGCGCUGAGGUAAGAGGAGACACACGCAACCUUGCUGGCCUGGCCAGGAGGAGCCCACAGCCGUCAUUUCAGACAGAGGAACCUGAGCCGGACGUGAACCUGGGUUCAGACACUGCCGUUGCUGUGGGUGAGCGGCUGUUCUGCCUGUGGAGCAGCAUCGGGUGGGUGGUUGCCUGGCACCGUGACUGUUAGGAGAACUUCUGCAUGGCCGGGGUGUACUUUAUGGGGGGUGCGGCCCCCUGUAAUCGCUCUGCAGUCUGGGCACCCUGUGAUGGGGGCCUGGUCCUCAUCUGCGGCUGCCUCGGCUGGCUCCGAUGUGAGCCAAGUUGGGAUCUUUCCAGAGACCCCUCAAUUCGGGACUUCCUCCAAAGGACACAUCUUCCGACACUGGAAGAAGCUUUCAAAAGAGCUCCCCAAAGGAUCCCAUCCAGGGUGCCGCAUCCCAUUCAGUCGUCAUGUCUCCUAGGCUGCUCUGGUCUGUGACAGUUUCUUACUGUUCCUUGCUUUUGAUGAACUUGACCGCUUUGGGGAGUACAACUCCAAUGUUUUGCGAAAUGCCCUCCGAUCUGAGUAUGUCUGAUGUUUUCAUCAUGGUUAGACCAGGAUGAUGGGUUUCUGUCACGUCGUAUCAGUAGAGGGUACAUGAUACCCACAUGGCCUUGUUUUUACUUUUAAGAAAUUCUGGAAAUGUCAACAAUACUGCAUAUUUCUUAUGGGAUGUGUAUCUGUAUCUCAGCCAUCGUAUGUGGUAA